AUGAAUUUAAACCCAUCGAUCAUAUGCUGGAAUGUGAGAGGGCUGAACAAUCCGGUGAAAAGAAAGGCGGUGCGAGAGUUUGUUUCAUCUAUCAAAUGUAAUAUGGUGUGUCUUCAAGAGACCAAAUUAGAUGUUGUAGAUCAGUACUUAAUGAUGCAAUGUAUCGGGCCAUCAUUUGAUGGCUUUGCUUAUCUCUCGGCGAUCGACACUCGUGGAGGGGUUCUUUUGGCUUGGGAUACUACGGUGCUUUGGGUUGACAACAUUAGCUUGGACACCCACAGUCUCACUGGUCUGGUGCAUAACAAGGAUGGUUUUGAGUGGUGGAUCAUGGUAGUUUAUGGGCCCCAAGGGGAGGAGCUCAAGAUGGAGUUUUUAGAUGAAUUGCGAACCCGGCGCACAGGAUGUCCUGGACCCUAG
rnacentral:rRNA from 1 species